GCCCACUCCAUGCGAUAACAGGCCCAGGCGGCGUGAUGGAUUUCUGGAAGGCCAGAAACUGUUUGCUCCGAGGCCGCUGCACCUCCGGAGAAUGCUGGAUAAGCAGUCCAUGCCUGCGGGGACGGAUGAGGUUUUAAGGGGCCACAUCACAGAGUAAUGAGAUCCCGGUUCGAAAAUGGCUUCCACAAACUUGGAUUCACCUCAAUGAUCCCCAUCCACCACGAGCUAGAGAACCCGUGUCUGUCAUUUGUGAGGUUCAGACCAGCCUCUAGGACACAGUCAGGGUAAAUGUUGGGAUGAGUCAAGGUCACCUGAGGCGACAAUCCACACCACAGAACCGUGACUCAUAUGGAGCUGCUAAUAGAACUCAGAAGGAGAAGCUGAAGCUCAUGACUUCAAGUCAGCCAGUCACCUCAACCACCUACACGUCUUCAUCGGGUAAAUUCUUGACAUCUCAAGAAAAACCAAUAAGCCCGUUCAUCAUUAGGUAUGUCCAGGGAUAAAAGCAGUUUUAAAUUCUUCUGUCUUCAAUACUUAAAAGAUAAACAACAAACCCAAACAUAUUAACUUAUUUGAUCAGUCUGUUAUUUAUUUUACUAUUGGACUCAAUACCAUCUAUUUGCAUUUAUUUUUCUUAUGUUUCUAGGAUCAUAUUUCAAAUUAGAAGUAUAAAGGAGUUUAACAUUAAAGUAGCUCACCAUCAUGCUUGAACUGUUAACCUGUCAGGCAUUACGUCUGGUUCACAUUGCAAGAUAAUUAUUA